GACGAACGCUGGCGGCGUGCUUAACACAUGCAAGUCGAACGGAAAGGCCCUGCUUGCGGGGUGCUCUAGUGUCGAACGGGUGGGUAACACGUGGGUGAUCUGCCCCCUACUUUUGGAUAAGCCUGGGAAACUGGGUGUAGUACUCGAUAGGAGCAUGCUGGAUGUGUUGUGGUGGAAAGAUUAGUUUCGGUAGGGGGUGAGCUCGCGGCGUAUCAGCUGGUUGGUGGGGUGAUGGCCUACCAAGGCGUCUACGGGGAGCCGCCCUGGGAGGGGGGACGGCGACAUUAGGGCUGAGAUGAGGCGGCGACGCCUACGGCGGGCAGCAGUGGGGAAGAUUGUACAAUGGGGGGAAGCAUGAUGAAGCGACGCCGCGUGGGGGGUGACGGCCUUCGGGUUGUAAAAUCCUGUCAGCGACGACGAAGCACUGGUGGUGACGGUAGUGGGAGAAGAAGCACCGGCUAACUACGUG
rnacentral:rRNA from 1 species